rnacentral:rRNA from 1 species
CGAAAGCCGGCAGGGAUCAUUACCGAGUUUACAACUCCCAAACCCCUGUGAACAUACCACUUGUUGCCUCGGCGGAUCAGCCCGCUCCCGGUAAAACGGGACGGCCCGCCAGAGGACCCCUAAACUCUGUUUCUAUAUGUAACUUCUGAGUAAAACCAUAAAUAAAUCAAAACUUUCAACAACGGAUCUCUUGGUUCUGGCAUCGAUGAAGAACGCAGCAAAAUGCGAUAAGUAAUGUGAAUUGCAGAAUUCAGUGAAUCAUCGAAUCUUUGAACGCACAUUGCGCCCGCCAGUAUUCUGGCGGGCAUGCCUGUUCGAGCGUCAUUUCAACCCUCAAGCACAGCUUGGUGUUGGGACUCGCGUUAAUUCGCGUUCCUCAAAUUGAUUGGCGGUCACGUCGAGCUUCCAUAGCGUAGUAGUAAAACCCUCGUUACUGGUAAUCGUCGCGGCCACGCCGUUAAACCCCAACUUCUGAAUGUUGACCUCGGAUCAGGUAGGAAUACCCGCUGAACUUAAGCAUAUCAAUAAGCGGAGGAAA